GAACGAACGCUGGCGGCAGGCUUAACACAUGCAAGUCGAACGGUCUCUUCGGAGGCAGUGGCAGACGGGUGAGUAAUGCAUGGGAAUCUACCGUUCUCUACGGAAUAACUCAGGGAAACUUGUGCUAAUACCGUAUACGCCCUUUUGGGGAAAGAUUUAUCGGAGAAUGAUGAGCCCAUGUUGGAUUAGCUAGUUGGUAGGGUAAAGGCCUACCAAGGCGACGAUCCAUAGCUGGUCUGAGAGGAUGAUCAGCCACACUGGGACUGAGACACGGCCCAGACUCCUACGGGAGGCAGCAGUGGGGAAUAUUGGACAAUGGGCGCAAGCCUGAUCCAGCCAUGCCGCGUGAGUGAUGAAGGCCCUAGGGUUGUAAAGCUCUUUCACCGGUGAAGAUAAUGACGGUAACCGGAGAAGAAGCCCCGGCUAACUUCGUGCCAGCAGCCGCGGUAAUACGAAGGGGGCUAGCGUUGUUCGGAUUUACUGGGCGUAAAGCGCACGUAGGCGGACUUUUAAGUCAGGGGUGAAAUCCCGGGGCUCAACCCCGGAACUGCCUUUGAUACUGGAAGUCUUGAGUAUGGAAGAGGUAAGUGGAAUUGCGAGUGUAGAGGUGAAAUUCGUAGAUAUUCGCAGGAACACCAGUGGCGAAAGGCGGCUUACUGGUCCAUUACUGACGCUGAGGUGCGAAAGCGUGGGGAGCAAACAG
rnacentral:rRNA from 1 species